rnacentral:rRNA from 1 species
UUAAGCCAUGCAUGUCUAAGUAUAAGCAAUUAUACAGCGAAACUGCGAAUGGCUCAUUAUAUAAGUUAUCGUUUAUUUGAUAGUACCUUACUACUUGGAUAACCGUGGUAAUUCUAGAGCUAAUACAUGCUAAAAAUCCCGACUUCGGAAGGGAUGUAUUUAUUAGAUUAAAAACCAAUGCCCUCUGGGCUCCUUGGUGAUUCAUGAUAACUCUUCGAAUCGCACGGCCUUGCGCCGGCGAUGGUUCAUUCAAAUUUCUUCCCUAUCAACUUUCGAUGUUUGGGUAUUGGCCAAACAUGGUUGCAACGGGUAACGGAGGGUUAGGGCUCGACCCCGGAGAAGGAGCCUGAGAAACGGCUACUACAUCCAAGGAAGGCAGCAGGCGCGCAAAUUACCCAAUCCCGAUUCGGGGAGGUAGUGACAAUAAAUACUGAUACAGGGCUCUUUUGGGUCUUGUAAUUGGAAUGAGUACAAUUUAAAUCCCUUAACGAGGAACAAUUGGAGGGCAAGUCUGGUGCCAGCAGCCGCGGUAAUUCCAGCUCCAAUAGCGUAUAUUAAAGUUGUUGUGGUUAAAAAGCUCGUAGUUGAACCUUGGGCCUGGCUGGCCGGUCCGCCUCACCGCGUGCACUGGUCCGGCCGGGCCUUUCCCUCUGUGGAACCCCAUGCCCUUCACUGGGCGUGGCGGGGAAACAGGACGUUUACUUUGAAAAAAUUAGAGUGCUCCAGGCAGGCCUAUGCUCGAAUACAUUAGCAUGGAAUAAUGAAAUAGGACGCGUGGUUCUAUUUUGUUGGUUUCUAGGACCGCCGUAAUGAUUAAUAGGGACAGUCGGGGGCAUCAGUAUUCAAUUGUCAGAGGUGAAAUUCUUGGAUUUAUUGAAGACUAACUACUGCGAAAGCAUUUGCCAAGGAUGUUUUCAUUAAUCAGGAACGAAAGUUAGGGGAUCGAAGACGAUCAGAUACCGUCGUAGUCUUAACCAUAAACUAUGCCGACUAGGGAUCGGACGAUGUUAUUUUUUGACGCGUUCGGCACCUUACGAGAAAUCAAAGUGCUU